UGACGUCUAGCUGCUCGAUUGGUCGCGCGGAGGCCAUUAUGGUGUCCGUGUGGGCGGUGGCGUAACUCGGCCACGCCCACACGAUUCCUGACACCCUCGGGGCCCCUUCGCUCGUCGAGGUGUUUUCUCUACCUGCCCGGGGACCCUUUUCGUUCGUCGUGCGCGUACUACGCUGCCACUACUCCCGACAGACUCCGUCGGGGGUAUAGCUUGGCAAAGAAAGCCAGAGACCACGCUUCGACCAGCUACGCUUGUAUGCAUGGAACGCGGACUUUCGACCGCCAAAGAGACUCCCCCGGUUCCCCUAUCGACCGCGAAUUCGACGGGAAUCGAGGGUUGAGGGUGACGCUGACAUCUGGGACGCGAGUGAAUUUCCUUUCUCCAAAGAUCCGGUGGUUUUAGUUUUUGUUACGUUCCUCGAAAUUGGAAUGUUCUUUCAUUCGCGGUUCUUGUAAUCUUUCUUGUGACGCUUAUUUUUAUUUUAUGAAUUUAAGAAGAUACAAUGAAAUAAAGGACAAUCGAACGUCAACGUGACAGUUUGGCAACAGACGUCCUUGGCUCCGCCCAUUAACCCACCGCGAAAGGAGUGGACCGGUAUUGGAGGUGGAGCAGCUUGAACGACACGUUUUUCUGUUCUCACGUACACGCAACUCGUUUGCUAAUUACUUGGAUCCAUUUUUCGAAGGGAAUCUUUUAUCGAACGUAGUCGGAUGGUUACAAUCGUGGAUCGUAGAAAAUUGCACACCGCGAAAAGGAACAACGCGUCGAUCCGUGUGACCUAAAUUUUCCUCGAAAGAUGCUAAUCUGGUUGGCAGUCGCAUUAUAGGUAAUAGAAUUUUUUAUCGGAACAAUUUCGCGCCGGUUAUGCAGAGGCCGGUAGCACGAUGGAAGAAAAAAAUUUCAGCCAGCGAGCAAAUUUCGUAACGCGACUGGCCUUUUUUUGCCGAUCGUAUCGGUGCGAAUGCAACAACACGGUAGACAAGUGAAGGCGCUGAAAAGGAUAAAAUCCUGGAUAAUCCAAAGCGUGGUUGCUCGCCCACGAGCAAUCUUUGUUUCUUUUAUGUCUCUAUCUAUAUAAUUAAUACUCAUCAUCGAGAUAAAUUUUU